AUGACUUCGAUGAACCACGCACUUUGGCACCAACUGGAUUAUUCCUUGGUGGUAAGUCGCCAUGAAGGCAGCCAACACACGCGACCUCCCUCUCUCUCGCUUCCUCUCCCACGUAACCCGCCGCCACUAGCAUCGCCAGCAAGAGAGCAACUGGCUGCACCGACAUGGUCGGGCCUCGAGGAAGGAGUGGGUGGAGGUGAAACUGGGUGGGAGGAGAAGGCGGCGGCAGAGUCUGCUGCAGUUUCUAUUUGUGACCUACCUCGACGCUGGAGGCGGCAGAUCCAUCCAGUCGAAGUGUCUGUGGAGGAAGAAGCCGUUGUUGACGGACUAAGGGUCAGGUGA
rnacentral:rRNA from 1 species